rnacentral:misc_RNA from 1 species
UGGUUUGGGCAUCGAUGAAGAACGCAGCGAAAUGCGAUAAGUAAUGUGAAUUGCAGAAUUCAGUGAAUCAUCGAAUCUUUGAACGCACAUUGCGCCCGCCAGCACUCUGGCGGGCAUGCCUGUCCGAGCGUCAUUUCCACCCUCAGGCCCCAUCGGCCUGGCGUUGGGGCUUCUGUAGGCUAGAUCCUGCAGUCCCUCAAGACCAGUGGCGGGCUCGCCUAGAACUCAGAGCGCAGUAGUUUCUCUUCGCUCAGCGGGUUCUAGGCGGGUUUGGCCGUUAAACCCCUAAAUUUUUAGAAGGUUGACCUCGGAUCAGGUAGGGAUACCCGCUGA